rnacentral:rRNA from 1 species
AUACGGAGGAUGCAAGCGUUAUCCGGAUUUAUUGGGUUUAAAGGGUGCGUAGGCGGUUUGCUAAGCGGGAGGUGAAAUGCCGGCGCUCAACGUCGGAAGUGCCUCCCGAACUGGUGGACUGGAAUGACUCUGCCGUGGGAGGAAUGUGUAGUGUAGCGGUGAAAUGCUUAGAGAUUACACAGAACACCGAUUGCGACGGCAUCUCACGAAGGGUUGCGUGACGCUGAGGCACCAAAGCGUGGGGAUCAAACAGGAUGAGAUACCCUGCUAGUCCAAGCAGUACACGAUGAAUACUCGGUGGAGGGGGUAUCGCCUCCCCCUGUGCCGCAGUUCCCACAAUACCUAAUCCGCCUGGGGAGCUCGGCUGCACGGUUGAUGCUCAAAUGAAUUGACGGGG